rnacentral:rRNA from 1 species
ACACGACUACAUUAGAUACCCGCGUAGUCCUAGCCGUAAACGAUACUCGCUAGGUGUCGGCCACGGUGCGACCGUUGUCGGUGCCGUAGGGAAGCCGUGAAGCGAGCCACCUGGGAAGUACGGCCGCAAGGCUGAAACUUAAAGGAAUUGGCGGGGGAGCACCACAACGGGUGGAGCUUGCGGUUUAAUUGGAUUCAACGCCGGAAAUCUUACCGGGACCGACAGCAACAUGAAGGCCAGGCUGGAGACUUUGCCGGAUUAGCUG